GAAAAAGUCAGAACCAAAAUUAAAGAUAGAUUCGAAGGAAAGAUUCCUUAUGAUAUCCUAACCUAUGGUGACUUAAUCAGCUUCAUCACUACUGUAGGGAUAGAUCUCUGCACUGACCUCAAGCUUAAGAAACUGCUUAAGAAGGAUAGUACUUCUAAAUAUGGACUAGGAACCUUCUGCCAAGACUACGGAUUUACCAGUCCUAGGAAAAAGUAUAGUGAGAAAUCCUCCAAACUUCGCAAGAAGGCUACCUCUAGCAAGAAACCCUUCGUAAGAGAAUCUUACAAGCCUAGUAGGAAGGUCAAACUCAAAACCUCUAAGGCUAAAGAUACCUGUUGGACUUGUGGCAAGACAGGCCACAGGGCAAAAGAUUGCAAGUCUAACAAGAAAAAGAAAAUAAACCAAUUAGAUCUCUCUGAAGAGGCUAGGGCUAGUUUAUUUUCUAUAAUGGAGGAUUCGCCUGAAUCUUCUGGGUCUUCAGAAUCCUAUAACUCGUCUAGCGAUGACUACAGUGAUGAAGAGUUCAUCAAUGCCGCCUACGAGACAGAUCAAUCCCAAUCCGGCCAAGAAUGUGCCUGUGACGGUGCUUUCUGCACUUGCACCAGAAAGACCAUUAAUGUCAUUUCCGGAAAUCCUAAAGAAAUCCUAUUUGACAUUAUAGAACAUAUCCAGGAUGAUGAGGCUAGAAACAAGUAUCUUCUAGAACUCAAACGAUUAAUGCUUUCUCACGAAGAAAAGCCCCCCAAACCCGUUAUUCAGCCUUUUAGCAUGAAAUAGGUUAUGUCAAGAUUCAACAGACCUGCAGAACCUUCUAUUGCUGAUCUCAAAGGAGAAAUCUCCAUCCUAAAGGGAGAAAUCAAGAAUCUGAAAAUCCGUCUUGACCAAGUAGAGCUCAACGUUCUUACAGAUCAAGUCCUAAAAAAUAUUUCUCCCCCAGAAAAGAUUUAUCCCCCAGAGUCUCCUAAGACUUUCCCGAUCAUCUCGAAUGACCAUCUUAAAGAACCAGAGCCUAGUUCCUU
rnacentral:lncRNA from 1 species